GAGGUCCCGAGCGUUGUUCGGAUUCACUGGGCGUAAAGGGUGCGUAGGUGGUGGAGUAAGUUUGAUGUGAAAUCUCCGGGCUUAACCCGGAAACUGCAUUGAAUACUAUUCCGCUGGAGGUUUGGAGGGGGGACUGGAGUUCUCGGUGUAGCAGUGAAAUGCGUAGAUAUCGAGAGGAACACCAGUGGCGAAGGCGAGUCCCUGGACAACACCUGACACUGAGGCACGAAAGCUAGGGGAGCAAACAGG
rnacentral:rRNA from 1 species